ensembl:lncRNA
GCGACAUUGUUGACGAGAGUCGAAGCGCCAAACGGUCGAAAGUUUUCCGUUGCCGUCGUAACCAGGGAGCCGCAAGUAAUGAACGGUAAUGUUCAAAAUAUUACAUUUUACCGUCAACAAUGGACCUGCAUCAUUCGUCGUGUUGGGAGGCCAUUCUGGAGAAAGUGAAACCGCAUAUACCGACUAUGGACUUUGAUUCGUCAUCACAGUCUGAGAAUGAAGAGAUUGCCACAAUAUAUCAAAGGCCCGCUGGUCUUUCCUUGACUGUCUCUGAGGACUUUGACCUACUCUCAAUGGAUGACGAUCAUCUAGAGCGGCUGUGGAAACCUGUAGCUCCGACCCGCAGGACAGAAGAGAGUGAGCAAUUGGAUGGCGAUGAAAAUGUGGAAGGCUCUACUGUCACGCAACGACAACUCGCUGAUGUCCAGGGAGACGCUCCUCAGACGGGCCUCGUGGAGUCAGAUGCCUCCGUGAGACCAAACAACACACAAACAACAACAACAACAGCUGAUCAGCAAUUGACCGUUCUGUCAUUGGCAAGGUUUGACCAGUGGGACUUGGACGAUGUUCUCAAAAAUCUGGACCGGCUACCUCUGCAACAACAUGUGUCAGUUGAACCGCUGGAAACACAUGCAGAUGGCGACAAGGAGAAAUCCGAAGCAAUCAUAAUGGAGAGACUAGUUGCUUUUUGUGACAUCCAGUCAUCGAAGAAUGAGUCAGAGCCGAUGGAAAGUCCAAACCACAUCAAGCAUACCAAUGUGGGGGAAAAGUCAUCGGGGAGUUUGGAAGACGAGCUGCGGCCGAGGCAGAAGGAAUGUCCCACUGUUUACAUUGACCUGCGUUGCUCUGAUUCUUCAAUAAAAUCACCAAGAACAUCCCCAAAUCCUCCAUCAGAGUCCAAGUCACCAGCCAAACGCAGCAAGCACCACGAAACCCCAAAGAAAGUCAAUCUUAAAGUGCAUCAUGCAUCAUGCACGGAUGACAGAGAAGUGACUGGAAAGAAUAAGCUGCUUCAGAAGAUCAGGGAGAUGAAGGGAAAUGGAGAUAGAUAUCCCAACGAAUGUAUGGACCCAUCUCAUUCAGUGCCAGAGAAUGUACUGGAAAAACUGAACGCGGCGCAACCGCAGGCUGCAGAGUCUGCGUGUGGACAGGAGACACACAAACAGGGGGGAGACAAUCAAUCUUCUUAUGUGCAGUUUGGAUACAGAAUGACUGAAAUGGAAACCCCACCUACAUCUCAGCAAGGACCAAUCAAAAAACCGGAGCAGCAGAGUGACCAACAGAGACCAGAAGUUAAGCAGACAAAUGCACGUGAGCAACACCAACAUAUUCCUGAGCAACUGGAAAGACAUCGUCCACUCAAAUCGAAAAGGAACAAAGACAUCCAUACACCUUUCUACAACCACGUCUGCAGCUUCCUCACUGAGACCUCGCUCCCUCUGAUCGCCAGCUGGGUACCGGCGGUCAGAAACCUGCUGGACCAACAAGCCUUCGCCUCCCCCAUCCAUCUGCCUUCAUGCAGUCUAAACGGUUUCAUCUCCACCACUUCCAACAAAAAGGUUAUUGACAGGACAUUUGGUCUCGACCCCGGCUUUUACUGGCAGACUCUGGAAACUCCGGAGCAUGUUUGCAGGGGGAGAGAGACCACACAAGCGCUGCACACGGAAGUAUCUGUCGCUGUGGGGUGCGAAGCAUUCAUCCUCCAUCCUGUCAUAACACACUACACCCUCCAACUGGUUCUUGAUUCGGGGCUCGAUGUGUGUGGUCUGCGGCUCCUUUAUCCAACACGGGAGUUCCUGAGUGAUAGGGCUGGUGCUGGACCAGUUCUUCAGAGAGCCGGUGCGACCUGCCAGCCUGUCCUGGCCCUUGCUGUGCGGGGCCUUCGUGCCCACUCCGUGUUGAGCGAUCUGACGAGUUCCUCGGACCCUCUGGUGCCCGGAGGGACCGACCCUCUGGAGCCUCCUCUCUUCUUCUCCUCUCGACCGGCCAGCCAGGUGCACAGGGAGCUGUGCUUGUGGUUUUCAGGAAGAGUUAGCCCUUACAACCGGCUCCCGAGCAGGGUUGUUCCCUCGAAUGAGCGAAGAGGAGUCUUUCUGUGCGCCACAACGAAAAUGCUGGCAGUGUGUGAACGCAGAGGCUUCGGCCUGGGGGGGCUGGGGGGGCUGCGGCUUCAGAGCAACGGCGCUGCAGACCUGGGACUCUCCGAGCAGCAGGCUCGAGUGUUCUGCAUUCCACGCCGGGGUCAGCUGGAGCUGCUCCCUCCCUGUCUGGUGUUGUUACUGAGGAAAGAAAAUGCUGUGCACCACACUGUUUGUCUGCCAGCAGCCCUGAUGAGAGAAUUUAAGACACCAAAGCUUCUGGGUCGCAUCCGGUCCAGAGUCGAUGGGGUUCGGGCAGCGGAGCCCAGCUUGUGUUUCCACACUGCGCCUUACAGCAGCAACCUGUACCACGUCUUUGGACACAAGACGCGGCCUGAGCCUCUUGCACAGAGUGCUGACAGAGGAGCCAGAAGGAUUCCAGCUGCUCGGCCUGAAGUGGCUGCCUGCGUUGACUCGGCUUCAGGCUCGGGAGCUGAAUCCACACGAAGUGGGGCAGCAGCUCUUUCAAGACAGCGUGGGCCAUCUGAUGCCCCGUCCUGCCCUAGUGUGUGCUCUUAA